GUGAUCAUGGCUCAGGAUGAACGCUGGCGGCGUGCUUAACACAUGCAAGUCGAACGAAGCACUUCAUAAAGCUUGCUUUAAGAAGUGACUUAGUGGCGGACGGGUGAGUAACGCGUGGGUAACCUGCCUUACACAGGGGGAUAACAGUUAGAAAUGACUGCUAAUACCGCAUAAAACAGCAGAGUCGCAUGACUCAACUGUCAAAGAUUUAUCGGUGUAAGAUGGACCCGCGU
rnacentral:rRNA from 1 species